rnacentral:tRNA from 1 species
GGAGGAGUUCCCGAGUGGCUAAAGGGGGCAGACUGUAAAUCUGUUGGCUGACGUCUUCAGUGGUUCGAAUCCACUCUCCUCCACCA